UACCAGCACCCCGAGUGGUCGGACGUUUAUUGGCCUAAAGCAUCCGUAGCCGGUUCUACAAGUCUUCCGUUAAAUCCAGCUGCUUAACAGAUGGGCUGCGGAAGAUACUAUGGAGCUAGGAGGCGGGAGAGGCAAGCGGUACUCGAUGGGUAGGGGUAAAAAUCCGUUGAUCCAUUGAAGACCACCAGUGGCGAAGGCGGCUUGCCAGAACGCGCUCGACGGUGAGGGAUGAAAGCUGGGG
rnacentral:rRNA from 1 species